rnacentral:lncRNA from 1 species
GUGUCGAUUUUAUCGAAGCAAUGCGUGUGUGUGUGUGUGCGCGUGUGUGCAUGUGUGAACGUUACAAGUAUCUGACUGGCCAGGGACUGCUGCCCAGCCUCAACGGAAAGACCGCCUAACUUCUCUCCCGCGGACGGGAGAGGGGCGCGAGGGGCCUCUGCUCCCCCCCUAAGCAGCCGAGAGCCUCAGGUCCGCUAGUUCCGCUCUCCCCUCCCCCGGGGGUGGGAGGCGUCGCAUGCGCGCACGCUCUCACGAGUCAAGAGGCUCCGUCACGCGAGUUUUCGUUCAUUGAGCCUCUGAAACAGGCUACAAGACUCCCCCCCUCUCCCUCCCCGGCCUGAUCCGGCUCUUGGGGUGAGGGUUCACUAAGACAGAGGAAACCCGGAAACCCUGUACAUACCCUACCGCUCCCUAUUAAGGCACGAGCCCCUAACAUAAAGCUCGGUAUCUCAUCCGAUCCUGCGUUGCGGGGGAGGGGGAGCGGGUAGGGUUCAAGAAACUCGUGCUAACCACCUAUCGAGUGCACGCGAUGGGGCCCUGGGCACGGACUAGGCUAGCAGCUAUCAGUUCACCGUCGGGGCUAGGGAUGCCUUGAGGCAGCACCACACCAGCGGUGCGUGCGUGCGUGUGUAUGUAUGUGUGUAUGUGUGUAUGUGCUUACCUGUCUGCUUAUGUGUGCAUGUUUAUCUGUCUGUCGAUUAGUACGUGUUGCGCAUACUAGGAGUACAUACUCGUAUUUGGUUCGCCGGCCGGGCAGCGAGGGGGCCGGUAGCUUGGUUAAGGAAACCCAACACGCUCACACUCCGCUUUCCUUUCAUCUCCGUACUGUAAAUGAAAUUUAUGAUGGAAUUCAAAAAAGGGAGAAUGGAGGAAAGCAAAAGAAAGUAGCGCUCUGCUGAAUUUACAACUCGGUAACGGCGUUUUUGUUGGUGUCAUUUGCGACUCUUUAUUAAGGUUCAUUAGGACGCAUCUGGGUGACGGGUGACUCGAUUUGGUGUAUCCGCGCGCACAUCCCCCCAUGGCACUUGUCAGGUUCAGGAGCACCAUGCUUCUUCGCCAUCAUCUUCACCUCCGUCAGGUCUUGCGUGUGUCGUGGUGCAAUAUGUCCUGCAAUGUGUCCCUUAAUAUGGAAGGCCGCUCAUGUCCCUUAAUAUAUGGAAGGCCGCAUCGUAAGGUGUUCUAAAGUGGGCAUGCGUGUAGGUUUGUGUUGUUGUAAAUAGUCGCGGGCUGUAGUCGCGAUGGCAAGUGGAGGUAUGAAAGACCUGGCGGUGUGAUAGGAGUUUCCGGUCGUCGUUGCUGGUGAUGUGAUAGUGCAGCGUUCCAUGUCCGAUGCUGAAGUGUGAGGAGGUGGAAGGCAUGUACGUCGUCUCUGUCCUGUGGUGUUCUAUUGAUUGCACAUGUUCUAUAAUUAAUAAUGAUCCUCGCUUUUGUGCGCAUGUAUCGCGAGGCCGACAAAUUACAAUUACCUGUGAGGCUGCGGUAACUCGCAAAAUGUCGUAUGGAGGCCUUAACCAGGUCGCG